AAAAAGAAAAAAGAAACCACUUUCUUUGCUUGUCCAUAAAAAGCAAUGUUUCAUCUGUUCAAGUUUUAUCAUAUUACAACAGAACUAAUUCUAGUUCUAUUGCUGUCUCUACCAUAUCUGCAGUUACUUCCUCCUCUUAAGUCCCAAACUCUUCAAAGUCAUCCAUGAGGGUUGGAAUCAACUUCUUCCAAACUGUUAAUGGUGACAUUCUGACCUCCUCCCAUGAAUCCUGAAUGGUCUUAACAGCAUCUAAAAUGGCUCAUCCUGUCCUUUCCCUGCUCCAGCUAUGGAAUCUACCAUAUCUCCAAAGAAUCCUGGAAGAGCCUCUCCUGAGACAAAAUCAUAUAUCAGAAAACUAAUAAGACAGGAAAUUUAAGUACACGUUGAAAGAAAAAGAUACUUUGUUACACGAAGCUGAAGUCAGUGAAACUUGUAACAAGGCAGGCUCAAACAGAGGUACCAACUACAGAAUCUCGCCCUGUCGCUCAGGCUGGAGUGCAGUGGCAGGAUCUUGGCUCACCGCAAGCUCCGCCUCCCGGGUUCACACCAUUCUCCUGCCUCAGCCUCCCAAGUAGCUGGGACUAUAGGCACCCACCACCACACCUGGCUAAGUUUUUUGUAUUUUUAGUAGAGACGGGGUUUCACUGUGUUAGCCAGGAUGGUCUUGAUCUUCUGACCUUGUUUUCCACCCAUCUUGGCCUCCCAAAGUGCUGGGAUUACAAGCGUGAGCCACCGUGCUCAGCCCAGUUCCUUGUAACUUUUCUGUAAGUUUGAGAUUAAAUGGAUCAACAAACAAAUGGAAAUGGGAAAGGUGGAAAGGUAGUAAGGUAGAGGG
rnacentral:lncRNA from 1 species